CUCAGGUCCUGUGUGAUGAAUUCAGAUGAGGCAAGGAAUGGCUGUUUCAGAGGCCCGGAACAAAAUAAGAGCCAUGGAGGACGUCUCCAGGAGCUGCACAUGAUCUACCUACAAGGGAAACAAAACAGGAUUUGGGGCUGGGAUGGAGA